AGGACGAACGCUGGCGGCGUGCUUAACACAUGCAAGUCGAGCGGAAAGGCCCUUCGGGGUACUCGAGCGGCGAACGGGUGAGUAACACGUGAGUAAUCUGCCCCUAGCUCUGGGAUAGCUCCGGGAAACCGGGAUUAAUACCGGAUACGACCACGGCCGACAUCUGCUGUGGUGGAAAGGAUUCCGGCUAAGGAUGGGCUCGCGGCCUAUCAGCUAGUUGGUGGGGUAAUGGCCCACCAAGGCGACGACGGGUAGCCGGCCUGAGAGGGCGACCGGCCACACUGGGACUGAGACACGGCCCAGACUCCUACGGGAGGCAGCAGUGGGGAAUAUUGCGCAAUGGGCGAAAGCCUGACGCAGCGACGCCGCGUGGGGGAUGAAGGCCUUCGGGUUGUAAACCCUUUCAGCAGGACGAAGCGAAAGUGACGGUACCUGCAGAAGAAGCGCCGGCUAACUACGUGCCAGCAGCCGC
rnacentral:rRNA from 1 species